rnacentral:rRNA from 1 species
AUUGAACGCUGGCGGUAUGCUUUACACAUGCAAGUCGAACGGCAGCACGGGGGCAACCCGGGUGGCGGGUGGCGGACGGGUGAGUAGUACAUCAGAACGUGCCCAGUCGUGGGGGAUAACGUAGCGAAGGUUACGCUAAUACCGUAUAAGCUCUGAGGAUGAAAGCGGGAAAGCUUCGGACCUCGCGCGCUCGCACCGGCCGAUGUCAGAUUAUGUAGUUGGUGGGGUAAAGGCCUACCAAUCCGACGAUCUGUAGCUCGUCUGAGAGGACGACCAGCCACACUGGGACUGAGACACGCCCCAGACUCCUACGGGAGGCAGCAGUGGGGAAUUUUGGACAAUGGGCGCAAGCCUGAUCCAGCCAUUCCGCGUGCAGGACGAAGGCCUUCGGGUUGUAAAGUGCUUUUGUAGGGAAAGAAAAGGCUCUGGCUAAUACCUGGGGCUCAUGACGGUACCGUAAGAAUAAGCACCGGCUAACCACGUG